GGGCAAUUGGUCUAGGGGUAUGAUAUCUGCUUCGCACUAUUGCGGAUCUGCAGAGGGUCCUGGGUUCAAUUCCCAGAUUGUCCA